rnacentral:rRNA from 1 species
UACAGAGGGGGCAAGCGUUGUCCGGAUUUACUGGGCGUACAGCGCGCGCAGGCGGCCUCGUAUGUGACCGGUGACAUCCUCGGGCUCAACCCGAGGCGGCCCGGUUAGACAGCGGAGCUGGAGGCAGGGAGAGGGAUGUGGAAUACCCGGUGGAACGGUGAAAUGCGUAGAGAUCGGGUGGAACACCAGCGGCGAAGGCGGCAUCCUGGCCCUGACCUGACGCUGAGGCGCGAUAGCGUGGGGAGCAAACGGG